rnacentral:rRNA from 1 species
GAACGCUGGCGGCGUGCUUAACACAUGCAAGUCGAGCGGAAAGGCCCUUCGGGGUACUCGAGCGGCGAACGGGUGAGUAACACGUGAGCAACCUGCCCUAGGCUUUGGGAUAACCCCGGGAAACCGGGGCUAAUACCGAAUAGGACCACCGGCCGCAUGGUUGGUGGUGGAAAGUUUUUCGGCCUGGGAUGGGCUCGCGGCCUAUCAGCUUGUUGGUGGGGUGAUGGCCUACCAAGGCGACGACGGGUAGCCGGCCUGAGAGGGCGACCGGCCACACUGGGACUGAGACACGGCCCAGACUCCUACGGGAGGCAGCAGUGGGGAAUAUUGCACAAUGGGCGGAAGCCUGAUGCAGCGACGCCGCGUGAGGGAUGACGGCCUUCGGGUUGUAAACCUCUUUCAGCAGGGACGAAGCGUAAGUGACGGUACCUGCAGAAGAAGCGCCGGCCAACUACGUGCCAGCAGCCGCGGUAAGACGUAGGGCGCGAGCGUUGUCCGGAUUUAUUGGGCGUAAAGAGCUCGUAGGCGGC